rnacentral:rRNA from 1 species
UACGGGGGGGGGUAAGCGUUGUUCGGAAUUACUGGGCGUAAAGGGCUCGUAGGCGGCCAACUAAGUCAUACGUGAAAUCCCUCAGCUUAACUGGGGGAACUGCGUGUGAUACUGGAUGGCUUGGAUUUGGGAGAGGGAUGCGGAAUUCCAGGUGUAGCGGUGAAAUGCGUAGAUAUCUGGAGGAACACCGGUGGCGAAGGCGGCAUCCUGGACC